UCUCUGAAAAUUUUAUGUUCACUCAAUGUCAUGGAUACUAUGCUAAUUAAACUAUCAAAAUGUUGCAUGAUAAAAAUUUAUCUUCAGAAAGAGUAGCUAGCAAAACAUGUAUAUCAUAAAUAUUGAACUAAUGUGCAUACUAAAAGUAGAGAAUUAUAUAGAUCCAGAGAAACUUGUAGGAUGUGGGAUGUAGUACUCUUCACGCAUAGACUAAAGUACAUAUUAGUAUGUGGGAAGAGCAUAUGGUUUUAAUUGACGUGUGGCAGAGUGUAUUUACUUAACAAUAUAAUAAUUGUCUAUUUUUUGUGUUUUUUUAUCGGCAUACUUACCUACAUGAUAUUGCUCUCCAGGUAUAUAUUGCUUAAAACCACCCUAUUUUUUCUUAGCUAUACCCAUAUAUGUUUCUAGCUCGUGCUUUAUUUUUCUAAUUCUAUUUAUUUUUCAAAACAAUUUUUUUCUAUUUUCUUUGUAGUAAUUGAUGAUUGGUUAUUUGAAAUGAUGUUUGUAAAGUUGGCACCGUUUGCAAGUAACCAAGAUGAAUAUAGAGACCAAUUCAGUUUUGUAGACUGUAGUGAUAUGGUUUCAGAACUUGUGGUUACUGGAAUAUAAAGAGUUUGUUUUGUUGAGAGUUGUAUUUUGAAGAUAUACUACUAGAGCUUGGUAUUGCCGAGAGCUGCAGCUAAGUUGGUGGAGCGGUCCAUUAUUCUGAACCCUGGUCUAUGCUUUUGAAUAUUUGAGUUGCAAAUUUUGUUUUUAGAGCAACAAGAGCAUUGUGUAAUACUAUUGUAUAUGUAGAUAUGUAAUUUUUAAGUAUUUGAUCAUGUAGUUUCCAUGUUUUCGAAUAUUAUAAAAUCAUAAUAAAAUUCUAUGGAUAUUUGAUUUAUAAGCUGUCUGCAAUUUCUUAAUUUAAAAGAAAAAAUAAAAAUGUGAAAAAAUGGCUUAUGAAGGCAUCUUUUGUAAUGAUUUUUUGUUUAUUUUAAAAUGUAGCAAAUAACAGCGCUUGUUGCAGAAAGCGCUUUAUAAUACUAUCCUAUAUCAACGCUUAUGUUGUUUAAGCAUCGUCUAAAUGUAAUAUAAGACAACCCUUAUAAGUAGAAAGCGCUGUCUAAAUGCAUCAUAAGAUAGCGCUUAUGAGUAGAAAGUGUUGUCUAUUGGUGGCGUAUAAUAGUUCUUACAACAAAAGGCGAUGUCUAAAUGUAACAUAAGACAUCACUUAUAAUUAGAAAGUGUUGUCUAUUGGUGGCAUAUAUUAGCGCUUACGACAAAAGGCGCUGUCUAAAGGUAACAUUAGACAACGCUUUUACUUGAUUAUUAAGCGCUGAUCAUAGUGUUAUUUUGUGUGAUGUGUUCAUCUUCUUGCAUUAUAGACCGAAUUAUGAUCAUCUGAAAAUAAUCAUAAGUGUGUCCCAUAUACAAUGUCAGUCAUGAUUCGUGAACAAAAAUAGCGAGAUUCCUUUAAAUUAUUAAUAAUACAAUGUUGGAAGUUAUCCGUAGAUAACAAGGGAGUUGGACAACAUAUUUGGGUAACUGACUUAAAAUAUUCCAAACAAGAAAAAAAAACCAUUAACCUUUAACUUUGUUUUAAUUUUCCCAUCUAAAAUCAAACAGAGUGAAAUCAUAAAGAGGUGUCUUAUGUACAAAUACCAUUCAUGAACAAAUAAUGAGAUUCCUUUAAAUUAUUAACAAUAUAAAUGUGGGGAGUCAUAUAUAGAUAACUCGGGAGUUGAGAAAUAGAUUUGGUUAACUAACUUAAAAUCUUUCGAACAUUAAAAAAUCAUUCACCUUUAAAUUUGUUUUAACUUUUUCAUCUGAAAACAAUCAGAAGUGUGUCUAAUGUCCAAUGACACUUGUGAAUAAAUAGUGAGAUUCAUUUAAAUUAUUAACGGUACAGAUGUGUAGUUAUGUGUAGAUAACUGGGGAGUUGAGCAAUAAAUUUGGUUAACUAGCUUAAAAUCAUUCACAUUUAACUUUGUUUUAACUUUUUCAUCUGAAAACAAUCAGAAGUGUGUCUCAUGUCCAAUGACACUUGUGAAUAAAUAAUUAGAUUCAUUUAAAUUAUUAACAGUACAAAUGUGGAGUUAUGUGUAGAUAACUGGGGAGUUGAGCAAUAAAUUUGGUUAACUAGCUUAAAAUCAUUCACCUUUAACUUUGUGUUAACUUUUUCAUCUGAAAACAAUCAGAAGUGUGUCUCCGUCAAUGACACUUGUGAAUAAAUAGUGAGAUUCAUUUAAAUUAUUAACAGUAGAAAUGUGGAGUUAUGUGUAGAUAACUGGGGAGUUGGGGAACAUAUUUUGUUAAUUGACUUAAACUUUUCCAACAAGAAAAAAUCAUUCAUCUUUAACUUUGUUUUAACUUUUUCAUCUGAAAACAAUCAGAAGUGUGUCUAAUGUCCAAUGACACUUGUGAAUAAAUAGUGAGAUUCAUUUAAAUUAUUAACGGUACAGAUGUGGAGUUAUGUGUAGAUAACUGGGGAGUUGAGCAAUAGAUUUGGUUAACUAGCUUAAAAUGAUUCACCUUUAACUUUGUUUUAACUUUUUCAUCUGAAAACAAUCAG
rnacentral:lncRNA from 1 species